rnacentral:rRNA from 1 species
AUUGAACGCUGGCGGCAGGCCUAACACAUGCCAGUCGAGCGGAUGAAGGGAGCUUGCUCCUGGAUUCAGCGGCGGACGGGUGAGUAAUGCCUAGGAAUCUGCCUGGUAGUGGGGGAUAACGUCCGGAAACGGGCGCUAAUACCGCAUACGUCCUGAGGGAGAAAGUGGGGGAUCUUCGGACCUCACGCUAUCAGAUGAGCCUAGGUCGGAUUAGCUAGUUGGUGGGGUAAAGGCCUACCAAGGCGACGAUCCGUAACUGGUCUGAGAGGAUGAUCAGUCACACUGGAACUGAGACACGGUCCAGACUCCUACGGGAGGCAGCAGUGGGGAAUAUUGGACAGUGGGCGAAAGCCUGAUCCAGCCAUGCCGCGUGUGUGAAGAAGGUCUUCGGAUUGUAAAGCACUUUAAGUUGGGAGGAAGGGCAGUAAGUUAAUACCUUGCUGUUUUGACGUUACCAACAGAAUAAGCACCGGCUAACUUCGUG